AGAGUUUGAUCCUGGCUCAGGAUAAACGCGUGCGGUAUGCCUAACACAUGCAAGUCGAACGAGACUUUCGGUUUACCGAAAGUUUAGUGGCGGACGGGUGAGUAACGCGUAAGAACCUACCUUUUGGUUGAGGGAUACCAGCUGGAAACGGUUGAUAAUACCUCGUAUGCUGAGAAGUAAAGGGGGGGUCUUCCCCGGGAGGGGGGUGGGCGGGGUUGCGUCUGAUUAGUUAGUUGGUGAGGUAAAGGCUUACCAAGACUAUGAUCAGUAGCUGGUUUGAGAGGACGAUCAGCCACACUGGGACUGAGACACGGCCCAGAUCCCUACGGGGAGCAGCAGUGAGGAAUCUUCCGCAAUGGGCGAAAGCCUGACGGAGCACUAUCGCGUGGAGGAAGACAGCUCGUGAGUUGUAAACUCCUUUUGUCAGAGAAGAAAAUUGACGGUAUCUGACGAAUAAGCAUCGGCUAAACUCUGUGCCAGCAGCCGCGGUAAUACAGGGGAUGCAAGCGUUAUCCGGAAUUAUUGGGCGUAAAGCGUUUUGAGGUGGGCCACCAAGUCUGCUGUGAAAGAUCAGGGCUUAACCCUGAAUAUGCGGUGCGAUUCUGUUUACAGAAUUGAUACUCUUGUACAACAAGAGUAUGAAACUAAUGGCCUUGAGUACG
rnacentral:rRNA from 1 species